UCCCCGCGCUGGGCGCUGAUGAGCCCCGUCCCAUCGGCAGUGCCACAGGUGUGCUGCGCUCGCUGCAAUGCAAAUGCGAAACCGCCCGCACACGAGCGGCAGGGGGGAUGGCUGCGGGGAGCUGCACCUGCGGAUGGCGAUGCGCUGAUACUCCUGCACAACGCGCUCCAGCCUCGGGAGUCAGUCCCGGUGUUCCCUUCUCGCCCGGGCCAAGAUGAGGGCUCUGCAAACCUCACAGGCUUAUAAACCUCACUUGUCUCACCUACACUCCCACCUGGAAGAGUACAGCUUUUUUUUUUUGGCAGCAGGAAUGAUACCUGGAGGGAAAGAAAAGUUGACUUCCCUUACUUCAGGAGAGGUUUCAGGUCAGGCUUCCCUGACAGAGGUUUGGAAUUUAAAUGUGCUGUUGCCGUGCAUUUGAUCUGAUCAAGCACAGUAGUGGGUGGCUGUUGUAAGAUGAAAAAGGAUAAACAGCUAAAACCUGAGUGAAGUUAUUGCUGAGGAGAAUAUGAUUAAUAUAUGAAAGACAAGAGGAUAUUGACUUUUGCAGCUGCCCUGUAGUCAGCAGAAAAGGAGUUGUUCAGAGCAUUACACUGGGUUCUCAGCCAUGAAUACAGCUGUAAUGCCAUAAUCCCAGCCCGGCAUUGUCGUCUGAUCCCGUGUGCCUUGCACAAACAGCGCUGCAGGUCAGGCAAAGGCAAGUCUGGGAUGCCAAAGAGGUUUUAAUAGA